CGCCUCCAAAGUCGGAUUGCUAUGGUAUCUUCUGUCAUCCUGCUCUGGUGCCUUCUCUACCCAAUGAUGACCAUAUGGACCAGGUUCCCAAGUACGAGGAGUGCUAUUCAUCUGAAAACUACCCUUUGUUUGUGGAGGACUUAGAAUUUAGCUAGGAGUUAAGACUUUAAUAAUUAGAAAGUGAGAAGCCAUUGAAGGCAUUCGGACAGUGUCACGACAUGAACGGAACAUGCUUGGCAGUGUCAGUCUGACAGCUGUGUGUAAAUAACAGAACAGAAGAGGAAGCUGACACUCGAGGGAGCUGAAAGUGUCCAGUUGAAGAUAAACCCAUGGAGACAGUAUGCAAGUUAAUAAAGUACAGUGUCUGGCCAAAACUCUCAGGAGCGACAAAUCAAUAUCAAUUUCCUCUUUUAUAGUUUCUAAACCCUCGCUUUAUUUAUUGCUCCCGGCAAUUGUGUGUGCUCAAGUAUUACUGUACCUCCAAACCAAAGUUCAGUAAUUUAACCAACGCUGCAUGCUCCCACAUGACUGAAUCCUAGGCAUUUUUUCAACAUCCCAUAUUCUUUCCACUGCCAGAACUUUCUCCCUUUCUCCACAGAAUAAAACUUAAUGGAGGUACCCUCUCUGGCAUGCCAGCAAUCCAGUUCACAGCACCUGCUUCAUCAACAAUCUCUCUGGAAUUCAGGGUUUUCCCUCCAAUGUUGUUCCUGUUGACUUAGCAUUUUAUAUUUUGUGCGGUGGGUACUCAGUAAAUGUUGCAUAGUAACUUACGGGCGGCACUGCUCUUUACAAGCUUCGCCAAAAAUCUCAUACGGUUUUGCAAUAAUCUGAGUCAGAGUAUGUUUCUAGCUGUGUCUUUGGUCAUAUUCUACAUAUGGUUCCCAUAGUAAUUCAAAGAGCAGUUAAUUACCUAUAAUGUUGAAUAGUCCCUAUUGUAAUCUCUUAAUGCUACCUUCUUGAUACAGCUAAAGAGAAUUGCCGAAUUUAAGUGACAUGUAUUUGGAAGGGAUUUCAGUAGGUAUGAAUAAGAACUGAUUGUUACACGACUGCAUGAAGAAACGUGCUGGUAUCUUUGCCUCUGGUGCUUCAUAAUCAAGAGGACCAUGGGUGACUCAGACGCAACUGUACCACUGAAAAGCUUAAGGCAACAUGGAUAAUGACUCAUGGAAGAAAGAGGUAUAAUAUUUGAAAGGCUGUGCCCUUCAUUACAAAAAGAGGAGCUGUGAGACUCUCUGCUUGGAAGAAAUUGAUUGCACUUCGGGUCCGUGGCCUGUGGUUAUGCUUCUUCUGGAUCAACAGAACCGCACCUUGAUUUCCUGAAGAUAAAAAAAAGGAUCAGAAGGGAAUUGUCAAGGGCAACAAUGACCCAUGAAGAAACACUAGCACAUAGGUUUCUAAGGCAGCUGGAGUCCCUUGAGGUCAAGGCGCUCGCCCCGGUUACACUUAGGUCUUGAUGUCUCUUCAAGCAACUCAGAGGUCUUCCACUUCUUUGUCUAGUGACACCACUCACCUCACUAUUGGAAUCCACAAGAGCAUCAUGUCAUGACCCUAACUGAACUCUAUUUUGUGCUAUUGGAGUCCGUCAAGAAGUGGAGCUGUCAUGAAGAUUCAGAGCAAAGGUCCUGGGGACUGCUAUGGAUUCAGAGCCAACGCCUAGCAAGGGCUGCCUCUCGUCUUCAGUCCUCUUGCUGCCUCUCUCCUAAAUAUCCUCUCCUUGGGUGGAUAUCCUAUGUGCAUCUCGGCACUGAGCCCACCCACCCAACUAGGCCAAUAAAUGGAGCUACGCUUUUGUGCAGACAGUUUCUGCUACUACUGACCUUGAUGUCUCUGGGAGGAACUGGGCGCUCAGACAAAAAUAGUCUGACUCCUUUAGAUACAAUAUUGAUCUAAUGUACAAAAAUUGAGCAAGAAAUUUAAAUCACCCAUGCAAUCAUGUCAUUUGUAGUAAAAUAAAAAAUCAUUAUAGUACCUGUGUCACUUGACUACAAUACAGCAGGAAUUAGACCAUGCAUAAAAAGCCUUUUAAUAGUGUCUGAUUCACAGUGAAGCAUUGAUAAAACAGUAACUUUUAUUAUUAUGAGAUGGUUGGCAGAAGGAGUGCAUACAAAAUGAUCUCCCCCAGUAUGUUUUGAGGACAUUGUAAGAUUAGAAUUCUUGAGAUGCCUUUCGAUGCCUUAACAGGCCCAUUUCUAUUUGUAUCAUCGAAAACAUAAAAAAUAAAACAAAAAUAAAAACCAAACCAAAACACCCCCUCCAAAAAC
rnacentral:sRNA from 1 species